UACGGAGGGUGCGAGCGUUGUCCGGAAUCACUGGGCGUAAAGGGCGCGUAGGCGGCCUGAUAAGUAGGGGGGUGAAAUCCUGCGGCUUAACCGCAGGGCUGCCUUCUAAACUGUCAGGCUCGAGCACAGUAGAGGCAGGUGGAAUUCCCGGUGUAGCGGUGGAAUGCGUAGAGAUCGGGAAGAACAUCGGUGGCGAAGGCGGCCUGCUGGGCUGUUGCUGACGCUGAGGCGCGACAGCGUGGGGAGCAAACAGG
rnacentral:rRNA from 1 species